UCCUAGUGUCCUAAGUUCUGCCCCCAUUGGUAAGCCAUGUUUUGGGACUUUGGACUUCCAUCUGAACUUGGAUGCUUGAGGGCUGGUAAUUCCACACUUGCACUAUUCUGUCAUGAUUGUUGUUUAGAAUGUAAGCCUUGCCUGGGGUUCUUAAAGCUCUUAGGAACUUUGAAACACUCUGAACAAGGGAAGGCCUUGGAAUCUAGAAUCCAGAUUUGGUGAAACACAUGUUAUUGGGUAUUAAGAUUGAAUUAGGC
rnacentral:lncRNA from 1 species